AUACAGCAUUUCAAAUAGGGAGCAGCAAGUGCAAAGGCCCCGAGGCAGGAGUAAGUUUGGCGCUAUUGAGAGACAGCAUGGAAGCCAGGGUGGCUGGAGUUCAGGGUGGGAGGGAUAAGAUCGAGUCAGAGGCAGACAGGGGCCAGAUCACGCAAGGUCUCAGAGACCAUAGCAAAGAGCUGAGAUUUUGAGAUCAGAAGAGCA